rnacentral:rRNA from 1 species
UGGGGAAUAUUGCACAAUGGGCGCAAGCCUGAUGCAGCGACGCCGCGUGAGGGAUGACGGCCUUCGGGUUGUAAACCUCUUUCAGCAGGGACGAAGCGCAAGUGACGGUACCUGCAGAAGAAGCACCGGCCAACUACGUGCCAGCAGCCGCGGUAAUACGUAGGGUGCGAGCGUUGUCCGGAAUUACUGGGCGUAAAGAGCUCGUAGGCGGUUUGUCGCGUCGUCUGUGAAAUUCUGCAGCUUAACUGCAGGCGUGCAGGCGAUACGGGCAGACUUGAGUACUACAGGGGAGACUGGAAUUCCUGGUGUAGCGGUGAAAUGCGCAGAUAUCAGGAGGAACACCGGUGGCGAAGGCGGGUCUCUGGGUAGUAACUGACGCUGAGGAGCGAAAGCGUGGGUAGCGAACAGGAUUAGAUACCCUGGUAGUCCACGCCGUAAAACGGUGGGUACUAGGUGUGGGUUCCAUUUUCACGGGAUCCGUGCCGUAGCUAACGCAUUAAGUACCCCGCCUGGGGAGUACGGCCGCAAGGCUAAAAACUUAAAUGAAUUGACGGGGGUCAUAGCUGUUUUCCU